UAAAUUAUUCAAACCGUCUUUCUCUAAUUUUUGGGUCUGUAUGAGGAGAAAUAUUUAUAUGAAUUUGUUUUCUACAUAUACAUGUUACAACGAUAGAUCAAAGAGGUAAAUAAUCCUUACAUUCUUAAGUCUCUAGUGGUUGAGCUUUGAUCACGGUGGUGAUUUUCUGCUAUUCCCUAAGCUGCACUCAUACACAUACAACAAUCAUGUCGUCGCAAAAUCAAGUCUAAAAGGAUAUACACGUUUUAGAUUCCUUGUAGGAAAUAAGAAAUGAAUGGUCAUCGUGAUAUCUGCUCACCCUCUCAUCACGUUUGUAGAUUUUUAAUCAACAAACUAUCAC
rnacentral:lncRNA from 1 species